UCUGCACGUUCUUAGAGCUUCGAGUGGGGCCACUGGCUAUGAACUCCCAAGUGUAAGUAGUAUGCUACAUGAGGGGCCAGUCUUUUGCUAACACCACAAGGGGCUCUGGCCCAAUGAGUGGAGUUUGAUCGCAAUUCUUGCUAUAAGU
ensembl:snoRNA SNORA62 Small nucleolar RNA SNORA62/SNORA6 family